GACGAACGCUGGCGGCGUGCUUAACACAUGCAAGUCGAACGGAGCGAAUGAAAGCUUGCUUUUAUGAGCUUAGUGGCAAACGGGUGAGUAACACGUAGACAACCUGCCGACAGGAUGGGGACAACAUUCCGAAAGGAAUGCUAAUACCGAAUGAAGCGGAGGAGAGGCAUCUCUCUUCCGUGAAAGAUGGCCUCUAUUUAUAAGCUAUCACCUGUCGAUGGGUCUGCGUCUGAUUAGCUGGUUGGUGAGGUAACGGCUCACCAAGGCGACGAUCAGUAGCCGGUCUGAGAGGAUGAACGGCCACAUUGGGACUGAGACACGGCCCAGACUCCUACGGGAGGCAGCAGUGGGGAAUCUUCCGCAAUGGGCGCAAGCCUGACGGAGCAACGCCGCGUGAGUGAAGAAGGUCUUCGGAUCGUAAAGCUCUGUUGACGGGGACGAACGUGCGAGAGGUGAAUAAACUCUUGCAAUGACG
rnacentral:rRNA from 1 species